rnacentral:rRNA from 1 species
GUCCAUGCCGUAAACGAUGAGUGCUGGAUGUUGGAGGUAUUCACCCCUUCGGUAUCGAAGCUAACGCGUUAAGCACUCCGCCUGGGGAGUACGGCCGCAAGGUUGAAACUCAAAGGAAUUGACGGGGGCCCGCACAAGCGGUGGAGUAUGUGGUUUAAUUCGACGCAACGCGCAGAACCUUACCCAGCCUUGACAUCCUCGGAACCUGAUGGAAACAUCGGGGUGUCCUCGCAAGAGGAAGCCGGGAGACAGGUGCUGCAUGGCUGUCGU